CAAAGAUGUAAUCUAUAGCUAUAGUUCAUGGGAACAGUGGUUAUUGAGUGAUAUUGGAUGUCAAUAUUGUUGACCAAUUAUCAAACAUAUCUUUGAUUUAAGUUAAUUUGAAAUACUUGUUUUAAGUCGUUAUCAAUUUUUUUCAUGUGCAUUAUGUACAACAUUUAGCAAAUAUUACUGAAAUCUCAAUGACAUAAUUGUUGUAGGUCUGGUUUGGUCAGCAUGAAGUGUUAUGAAGUGCCAGUUUGCCAACCUGAUCACUGGUUUUUGACAGCAGACCGUCUACUUCCUUGAUACUCUGAAUAACUCCUACAGUGAAGAGGCAUUUCCUGAACAAUGGAGCGACAUCCUCGAGACACAAUAACAGAAGCUUUCUAAAGACAUGCAAACCAUGAGAUGGAAACUUGCUUUGUAAUUCACUACCAGUGACUGGCAGUCCUGAAACAGAAUGUCCAACUUUUCUUGGCAAAUCCAGACCUACCAUCAGGAUGCAGUGUCAUGUAAGACACUGCAAGAGCUUUGUCUUUCUGGGAUUCCUAAGCCUUUGAAUGGAGAAAACAAGACAUUGCUGCAUAUAUGACGAUGAAAAUACCAUAUUGUUGGACAUUAAUUAAAAAGAGCAUUGACCAAUGACAUGUAUACCGUGGCUAGUGAUUGAUAAUUGUUGUGAUUUUUCUGAUUUGGCCAUACAGUCAGAAUGAAGGAAAGACAAAUAUCAUGGUUCAUGAACUUCAGAUACACUUUUAAGCUCCUCUGGUACAAACUGUCAUAAUCUUAUGGUAUAGUGAAGUGUCUGUCAUAAGUCUGUCUGUCAACUUUUUCUUUAAAUUACUUUUUUAAAUUGAAAAUCACAGGGCCCUUAUAUUUGGUCAGCAAGUACCUGGGAUAAAUACUUUAAAGUUUCAUCAUGUAGAUUACCUUGACCUUCUUUCAAGGUCACAGGUGUCCAAAACAGGCAUCAGUUUCUUAAAAACUGGUCUUGAGUCAUGAUAUUUCAUGAUGAUUAUAUUUUAUUCAGUAUUCCUUUGCAUUGCUUUGUUUAAAAA
rnacentral:lncRNA from 1 species